GUUCAGGUUGCCUAGGGUUCCGCGGCUGAAGUCCAGCCGGUCUGGUCCGAGAGGGAACGAUGCGGAGCACGGAUCCGCAUUCACACGGAGGGACAAAAGCCCGGGAGAU
rnacentral:sRNA from 2 species